UACGGAGGGUGCAAGCGUUAUCCGGAUUCACUGGGUUUAAAGGGUGCGUAGGCGGAUUGGUAAGUCCGUGGUGAAAUCUCUAAGCUUAACUUGGAAACUGCCAUGGAUACUAUUAGUCUUGAAUAUUGUGGAGGUCAGCGGAGUAUGUCAUGUAGCGGUGAAAUGCUUAGAUAUGACAUAGAACACCAAUUGCGAAGGCAGCUGGCUACGCAUAUAUUGACACUGAGGCACGAAAGCGUGGGGAUCAAACAGG
rnacentral:rRNA from 1 species